rnacentral:rRNA from 1 species
UGGGGAAUUUUGGACAAUGGGCGCAAGCCUGAUCCAGCCAUGCCGCGUGCGGGAAGAAGGCCUUCGGGUUGUAAACCGCUUUUGUCAGGGAAGAAAUCUUCUGAGUUAAUACCUCGGGAGGAUGACGGUACCUGAAGAAUAAGCACCGGCUAACUACGUGCCAGCAGCCGCGGUAAUACGUAGGGUGCAAGCGUUAAUCGGAAUUACUGGGCGUAAAGCGUGCGCAGGCGGUUUUGUAAGACAGAGGUGAAAUCCCCGGGCUCAACCUGGGAACUGCCUUUGUGACUGCAAGGCUUGAGUGCGGCAGAGGGGGGAUGGAAUUCCGCGUGUAGCAGUGAAAUGCGUAGAUAUGCGGAGGAACACCGAUGGCGAAGGCAAUCCCCUGGGCCUGCACUGACGCUCAUGCACGAAAGCGUGGGGAGCAAACAGGAUUAGAUACCCUGGUAGUCCACGCCCUAAACGAUGUCAACUGGUUGUUGGGAAGGUUCCUUCUCAGUAACGUAGCUAACGCGUGAAGUUGACCGCCUGGGGAGUACGGCCGCAAGGUUGAAACUCAAAUGAAUUGACGGGGUCAUAGC